rnacentral:rRNA from 1 species
GAUGAACGCUGGCGGCGUGCCUAAUACAUGCAAGUCGAGCGAAUGGAUUAAGAGCUUGCUCUUAUGAAGUUAGCGGCGGACGGGUGAGUAACACGUGGGUAACCUGCCCAUAAGACUGGGAUAACUCCGGGAAACCGGGGCUAAUACCGGAUAACAUUUUGAACCGCAUGGUUCGAAAUUGAAAGGCGGCUUCGGCUGUCACUUAUGGAUGGACCCGCAUCGCAUUAGCUAGUUGGUGAGGUAACGGCUCACCAAGGCAACGAUGCGUAGCCGACCUGAGAGGGUGAUCGGCCACAGUGGGACUGAGACACGGCACAGAAUCCUACGGGAGGCAGAAGUAGGGAAUCUUCCGCAAUGGACGAAAGUCUGACGGAGCAACGCCGCGUGAGUGAUGAAGGCUUUCGGGUCGUAAAACUCUGUUGUUAGGGAAGAACAAGUGCUAGUUGAAUAAGCUGGCACCUUGACGGUACCUAACCAGAAAGCCACGGCUAACUACGUGCCAGCCGCCGCAGUAA